UCUAGCUAGCCCUGAAUUAGUUAAGAGCGGAAGAUGCAUGGGAAGGUUGUAAGGUGACCAUGGCUCAAGAAUCUAGAGCUGUAAACUUUGCUGGUGCUUGCUUGAAUUCCCCUGUAAAGAGAGACACACAAAUUACAAGAGAAAAAGAUUAUUAAGAGUUCAUACACCAACAUACAGUGCAAGAGAAAGUGUUGAAGACAACAGCUGUUGCUAGAAGAAGAUAGAUCUCUCCUAAAUUCCAUGAGUUCUCGAAGAUAAUUACUAAUGGCUUGGAGAUCUCUUCAGCCAGUUCCUUAAAUAUUCUAGGAUGUAUUUAUCAGGCCCUGCUGACUUGAAGACCUCUAACUUGACUAAGUAAUUCUUAUUUGUUCUUUCUCUAUUUUAGCCUUAGAUCCUACACCAUUUACACUGAUGUUCACUAUGUUAGUCAUCCAAUCUCUGCUAACCCUUUUUGUGAAACCUGAAACAAAAAAGGCAUUUAUUUAACACUG